UGGGGAAUAUUGGACAAUGGGCGAAAGCCUGAUCCAGCCAUGCCGCGUGUGUGAAGAAGGUCUUCGGAUUGUAAAGCACUUUAAGUUGGGAGGAAGGGCAGUAAGCGAAUACCUUGCUGUUUUGACGUUACCGACAGAAUAAGCACCGGCUAACUCUGUGCCAGCAGCCGCGGUAAUACAGAGGGUGCAAGCGUUAAUCGGAAUUACUGGGCGUAAAGCGCGCGUAGGUGGUUCGUUAAGUUGAAUGUGAAAGCCCCGGCCUCAACCUGGGAACUGCAUCCAAAACUGGCGAGCUAGAGUAGGGCAGAGGGUGGUGGAAUUUCCUGUGUAGCGGUGAAAUGCGUAGAUAUAGGAAGGAACACCAGUGGCGAAGGCGACCACCUGGGCUCAUACUGACACUGAGGUGCGAAAGCGUGGGGAGCAAACAGG
rnacentral:rRNA from 1 species